UGCGAUAAAGGCAAACCCACCGCGAGGUGGGGACGCAAAGCCACGGGACCCAAGCCCACCCCGGAUGUUCCGCGCGUGAACGUCCGGGGCCCCGAGCGGGUCAGCCGGGUUGCCGACA
rfam:Armatimonadetes bacterium CSP1-3 XT14_C0008, whole genome shotgun sequence.